rnacentral:rRNA from 1 species
AUUGAACGCCGGCGGCAUGCCUUACACAUGCAAGUCGAACGGUAACAGGUCUUCGGAUGCUGACGAGUGGCGAACGGGUGAGUAAUACAUCGGAACGUGCCCGAUCGUGGGGGAUAACGGAGCGAAAGCUUUGCUAAUACCGCAUAAGAUCUACGGAUGAAAGCAGGGGACCGCAAGGCCUUGCGCGAACGGAGCGGCCGAUGGCAGAUUAGGUAGUUGGUGGGAUAAAAGCUUACCAAGCCGACGAUCUGUAGCUGGUCUGAGAGGACGACCAGCCACACUGGGACUGAGACACGGCCCAGACUCCUACGGGAGGCAGCAGUGGGGAAUUUUGGACAAUGGGCGCAAGCCUGAUCCAGCCAUGCCGCGUGCAGGAUGAAGGCCUUCGGGUUGUAAACUGCUUUUGUACGGAACGAAAAGACUCUUUCUAAUAAAGAGAGUCCAUGACGGUACCGUAAGAAUAAGCACCGGCUAACUACGUGCCAGCAGCCGCCGUAACAC